rnacentral:lncRNA from 1 species
CAUCGCAUUGCCAUCAGAAUGUCAAGUCCUUGUGUCAUUCAGAUCACCUGCCAAAGUGUGUGAUAGUUUGGGACAAUGUGAGUUUUCAUCACUCCAACAUCAUUAGGCGUCAGGAUGGAAAGUUGUAACACAGAUGACUGGACAGAUCUGGAUUUUUGUUCAAAGACAUCAUAAUCAUACUAUCAUGCUUUUCAGGGCCUAAUUAUUGUAUAUUUUGGGGUCUAUACGAUCUACGAUAUCGUAGAGCCAAUACACGAUAGAGUCCAUUAUGUUUUGAUGCUGUUUAGAUUGUGCGCACGUCACCAGAAACUGUUGUCACGCCUACCUGGUUGGCUCCUCUUCUCUGUCAAUCACAUUAUGAGCGCUGCUGAUUGGUUCAGUUACCUACUCAGGUUUAUAUGCACACUUGUACCGUUUGUCCAGUAUUGCGAUAAGGGCGAAAAUAAGGAAGUGUGUUCAGAACCGAAGCAAAUUACUGGAUGAAAAGAGUCUGGGGAGCUGUGCAGUGCAGACACAGAAACCUACAUCUACAUGCAGGUGCCCCAACCAACCUUCUUAUCAAGCCUCUCUUCCACCGCUACCACCUCUUAGCGAGCCUCUGGUGGGACGGGUUCAUCCUCUGUGCUGAGACUUAAUUAUGAUAUGCCACAGCAACGUCAGCCCCAAGUAUUGGCUGAGGUGGAGUCAACUUUAGCAGCAGUGAUGCAGCAUCAUAAUGCACAAUCUAACCUAAGCCAUGCAGAUGUUGGAUUAUUUGUUGCACAUGCAGCCCAGCUCCAGUCAUUCUGUGAAGAUGUCAUGGUCAGUUCUUUACAGGUCUGUGUGGUAGUUGGUUGUUUAGGCUAUAGACUUGUUCACAUUUGUGUCACGGUGGAUAUGAGUGAAAGGUGCCAAAAGACUCAACGCUGAUAAUAUUUCAUCUUCUAUAUUUGCAUAAAUCAAAUUUAAACCUUGUUUUCUCACCCAAUGGUUGGCGUCAGCACAACAGAGCUAAGAUUUGACAUUUACUUGGUUUAUUCUAGUUCAUUAACUCUGAUCACUGAAAUCACACUUCUGCUGUGGACCCGUUUUUGUGGGGAGUACCAAGAUCAUAAGGCGCAUAAACCAACCUCUUGUUAAGCCAACACCUCCGUCUCCUGCAGAGGAGCUCCGCAAUGGGGAAAUCUACAGGUCAGCAGGAAAGCAAAAGGUCAGUCCCAGCCAUCAUGUUGUGAAGACUUACUUUGGAACAUUCAAGAUGCUGCAUGUGUCCUUUCUCUUCUUCCAGAGACUGCGCCCUACAGAACCUUGCAGCGCAGAUGAAGGCACUCCCUAAAGUUGUGGGCUGUGAGCUGUGUGGUGGAAAUUUUGCAAUAAAGGCAGAUGAGAGAGAGUUGUCCUUUUGUGC